UCAAUGACCUAAUUAGUGAACUCGGAAAUGUACUCUUAGAUACGGCUUCAACUGCAUUUGGACCAGCGGGUAAACAGCGUCAAAGAUCAACUCAAAACAAACCAUGGUUUAAAAAAGACUGCAAGAUUAUGCGUGAUGAGUUCCACAGAGCAAGAAGGAAAUACAAAAAAAAUAAGACUGCUGAUAACAAAACACUGAUGAAUAUGAAGGCUAAAGAAUACCGACA
rnacentral:lncRNA from 1 species